CUGGAGCAGGAGUGGCGGGAUCUAGGGUAGGACAGGCGCGAUCUUGUCGUGCUGGUCCUCCUCUUCGUUGCUGCUGCGCUGCUCCCUCCUCCUCGUGGCUGCCUUUUCUCCUCCCAGGUAGGGAGCAGACAUGCAGAUAUGGGAGAAGGUGCUCAUGGGACUCGAUGCCGAUGUCAAGGUCAGAAUCUACUGCUCCUCACACACUUUUUUUUGGUGUUCCUGUCUGAGAUGUGGUAUGAGUAAUAAAAACACACUACCGAGGUCUUGGUUGCUUAUAAUGUUUGACAAUGAAUAUCAAUGAGGUUUAAGUGAGAGUGAAUCUCUCCUUGAACAGACUGUACAUCUAGGUUGAUACCUUCACUCCUGCAACCGAGAGAGGGCUUCCAGUCACAAGGAUUGUUAGACACAUGCCCCUGCAGGAUAUUCUUGCUCGUGUGGUUGGCGAUGUUCCUAUAAUGAGCAAUCACCAUGUAGUCGAUUUUACAGACGCUGGCAACAAGCUGAAUGAACAGGUGCUAAUGUGGAUAUACAUUUCAUUCCAAAAACUCAGAGGGUUGAUUCAAUUCCAAACAUGCAGUCAAUUAUUGCUGCUUUAGAUGGGGAAAUGGUGGCUCAUGGAGAUCUGGGUGUUCAACUUCCAGUUGAGGAAGUACCUUUACUACAGGUCCCUGAGUUGGUUAAUGUUGAUUUUGCUCAGGUACGGUCCAUCUUAGGGAUCAAAGAGAGGUGGCUCAAGCGAUACGGGAUGGUGGCGAGCAGCGGCGACCGCAGCGGACGGUGCAGCAGACUGGACAUGCUUUAGAAAUGGCGGUCAAGACAACAUGUCUUGGGGAGUGGUGCGCCUGUCAAGCGACAGCUUCUGAUUCCGACACAACAAGGACUGAAUUGGGAUUUGUUGUUUGGACGUUCGACAAGCUUGACAAAAUACUCCUAAACAGCAUUUGGCUGUAGGACUGAAGUUGGAGUAAUUGCUAGGACAAUAUAUGACAGGUAUGACUGGCAUCAUUUGGGUUGUUUGCAUGGUCGGGAGUUUUCGUUGCAACUGCUAGGUUGGUCAUGUUCUACUCCUUGCAACUGUUGGAGUAGAUAUAUGUGUUAGCAUAAAAACCAAAACUAUUUCGAGGGACAUGUGUUCUUUUCAGGACAAUAUAUGACAGGUUGUUAACUCCGGCUCUCCUUGGAUGUGACGUGCGUUGUAGCUACGUGCUGGUCUUCGACGGCAAGAUCGCCGACUUGAACAGUCCCCCAACACCGCCGCGCCCCUCCACCCCCUCCAAUCCAGCAGCUUCGGGGCAUUCCUCCUUUGCUCCAGCGGCAGUGAAAGGGAGCUCCAGCAGCGGCGGACACCGGGUUACAGCAGCGGCGGCGAGAGGCGGCUCCAGCAGCUUCGUUCUCCUCGAGCUCCGGCGGCGGAGAGAGGGGGGCUCCAGCAGCAUCGGACAACGGCUUCCAGCAGCAGCGGCGAGAGGCGG